GACGAACGCUGGCGGCGUGGAUUAGGCAUGCAAGUCGAACGGUAUCAUCCUUUCGGGGGUGAGAGAGUGGCGAACUGGUGAGUAACACGUAGGUUAUCUACCCUCAAGACGGGGACAACCCAGGGAAACUUGGGCUAAUACCGGAUGUGAGCAACUUUUAGUUGUUUGAAAGGUGGCGUAAGCUGUCGCUUGGGGAUGAGCCUGCGUCCUAUUAGUUAGUUGGUGAGGUAACGGCUCACCUAGGCAAUGAUAGGUAGGCGGCCUUAACGGGUGGUCGCCCACACUGGGAUUGAGAUACGGCCCAGACUCCUACGGGAGGCAGCAGUCGAGAAUAGUCUACAAUGGUCGGAAGACUGAUAGUGCGACGCCGCGUGAACGAUGAAUCCCUUCGGGGUGUAAAGUUCUUUUAUAUGUGAGCAGUGCUUCUUAUAUUAACAGUAUGGGGAGAGAGAUAUUAGCAUAUGAAUAAGCAACGGCUAACUCCGUGCCAGCAGCCGCGGUAAACACUA
rnacentral:rRNA from 1 species